GCCAGACGAUGGUUCGCCGAAACUUCCACGGCGCACCGCGCGCCCCCUCCGUGCACUCGACCCACCACGUACGCCCGAUCCCGUCCGCACCGCCCGUCGCAGGCCAUCCGCUGCGCGUGAGCUCACCGCGCGGACGGACGUGGACGGAGCGCACCACGCAGGCGGGCCACGCCCGCGUGGGUGUCGACACUUCCGCCGAUUCACCAGGCCGUAGGGCUCGCGCGAGGCCGAUCCCGCGCCUCUCAAAAACUCCAGCCCGCCUCCAUUUCCCCCCAUUUAUCCUCCCCCUCCUCGCGCUCCCGAAACUCGGCUGGCCGCCACCUCCCCUCUCUCCCCUCCCUCCCUCCCUCGGGUCGCCACUCAGGUGGGAGAUUGGAAUAUCUGUCUGCCUUAACCGCCACCCCCUGCAUGCUCUGCGGCGGCGGCGGCGGCGGCGUAUCGAUGGUCAUGGACGCCGCGCUGCACGACUGGUGCGGGCCGCUGCCCGGCGGAUCCAAGCUGCCAAUCUACCCCCAAAUCCCCGACGGGUUCACCGCGGAGGAGCUCGAGUCGCUGCUGCUCUUCCCGCCCGACGGCGCCGACGCGGGCGCCUACCUGAAUGCCGCCGCGGCGCCGCCCCUGCUCCCGUCCCCGCCCGCCUCCGCCGACAGCGCGUCGUCGCCGCCGCCGAGAGACGCCUUGGUCUCUUCACCGGCUGCGGCGGCGGCGGCGGGCCAGGCGCAGCCGGACGACUCGGAGGUGUUCUCGGACAUCGUGCUGGGCUACAUCAACCGCAUGCUCAUGGCCGAGGACAUCGACGAGAAGUUCGAUCACUACCCGGCCCACCAGGCGCUGCUCGCCGCCGAGAAGCCCUUCCUCGAGAUCCUCGCCGACCAGCCGCCCUGCUCGGGCGGGAGCACGGUCGAGAGUCCCGACGGCAGCAGCGUCACCACCAACUCCUUCAACAGCCUCGCCACCUGCAACUGCGCCGCGCCUUCCGGUGGCCUCCGCGCCAUGCAGGCGCCGCCCGCUCUCGAGUUCCCUACGGCGGAGUUCCUGCAGCCGCCGCAGUUCUACCAGGAUCUGAGCCCCGAGAGCUGCGUGGUGGAAGCAGGCGGUGCGUGGCCGUACGACGCCAUGGAAUUUAACCCUCUUCCCGACGCGUUGCUUUCGCAGUCGUCCUCCUUCGCAUCUUCAAAUGGCAGCAGCGUUGCAUUUUCAGAGGGCUUCGAGCCGUGGCUCAGCACGGCGGGUGCUGUGCCUGAUGCUGGCUUGAGCGAUUUUGUUCUGCAGAGCCAGCAAGCAGCGCAGUUCAGCCGAGGAUUUGAAGAGGGAAGCAGAUUUCUGCCUCAAGAGAGCAAGCUUGUGAUUGACGUCGACAGUUUACCGUCAGUUUGGGUUAAAGAAGAUAAGAAGGUUGUGGAGGUCAAGAGAGAGAAGGCUGAUGCUGAAGUAGCAAUUCACCGAGGAAAGAAGCAUUUCUAUGGUGACGACCUGGAUGCAGAUGAAGUGAGAUGCUGCAAGCAUUCAGCGCCUGUGGUCGACGCGGAUCACCUUGUGCGGGAGAUGAUGGACAAGGUCUUGCUAUGCAACGGCGAGACAUGCUCUAGAGGUGUCAAGGAACUGCGUGAGGCCCUACAGCACGAUGUGGCAGCUCAUUCAGGUGGUGCCCAUGGCAAAGGGUCUGGCCAUGGCAAGGGCCGAGGCAAGAAACAGGUCAAACAACCCAAGAAGGAGGUGGUCGACUUGGAGACUCUCCUCAUUCAUUGUGCGCAGUCGGUUUCCAUUGAUGACCGGCGGAGUGCAACUGAUCUCCUGAAGCAGAUCAGGCAGCAUGCAUCUGCCAAUGGUGAUGGUGACCAGCGGUUGGCGCACUGCUUUGCCAAUGGUCUUGAGGCGAGGCUUGCUGGUAAUGGAAGUCAGAUAUACAAGUUACAUACCAUAUCACGGUUUGCAUGCGCUGAUAUUCUGAAAGCGUACCAACUCUACUUAGCAGCUUGCCCAUUCAAGAAGAUCUCUCAUUACUUUGCCAAUCAAACCAUUAUGAAUGCUGUGGAGAAAGCCAAGAAAGUUCACAUUGUCGACUUCGGCGUAUACUAUGGCUUUCAGUGGCCAUGUCUCAUUCAACGGCUAAGUAAAAGGCCUGGAGGCCCCCCAGAACUUCGGAUCACAGCAAUAGACACACCUCAGCCUGGUUUUCGCCCAGCAGAGCGCAUCGAGGAGAUUGGAAGAUAUCUAAGUGAUUAUGCUCAGACCUUCAAAGUUCCUUUCAAAUACCAUGGCAUCGCAUCUCAAUUUGAGGCUGUUCGGGUAGAGGAUCUCCACAUUGAGAAGGACGAGAUUCUGAUUGUCAACAGCAUGUUCAGGUUCAAGACUCUGAUGGAUGAGAGCGUGGUAGCUGAGAGCCCAAGGAACAUGGUAUUGAACACAAUAAGGAAGAUGAAGCCACAUGUGUUCAUUCAUGGGGUCACUAAUGGAUCCUAUAAUGCACCAUUCUUCGUCUCACGCUUCCGGGAGGCAUUGUUCCAGUUCUCUGCUCACUUCGACAUGUUGGAGGCUAACAUUCCCAGGGAUAAUGAGGAGAGGCUGCUCAUUGAGUCGACUAUUUUCAGUCGGGAGGCAAUUAAUGUAAUAUCUUGUGAGGGAAUGGAGAGGAUGGAGAGGCCAGAGACCUACAAGCAGUGGCAGGUGCGGAAUCAGAGAGCUCGGUUCAAGCAGCUCCCGCUGGACCAGGAAAUCAUGAAGCGUGCACGGGAGAAAGUGAAGUGCUACCACAAGAAUUUCAUCAUCGACGAGGACAACGGGUGGUUACUACAAGGAUGGAAGGGGCGUAUCCUGUACGCGCUCUCAACAUGGAAGGCGAACCCCCAAUUCUAGCUUCUGUAAAUGGUGACCUGUUCAUAUUUUUGGACUCUAGAGCUGAUUGGUCCUGGCCAACAACCCAUUAGUAGAUGAUGAACCUGAUUACUCUCCUGUAGCAUCUGCCUGUUGUAUGUGCUGCCCAUGCACGGUACGCAGCUACGGCCACAUAAAUACAUGAUGGACCAGGAGACGUGUAUGCUACAGCUCCAAACGUGUACCCAGGCCUGGGCAUCUAGAAGAAUAUGGCCGACAACGUGUGAAACUGUUGGGCACGACAGUUUGCGAGAUUGAUCCUCCUGCUGCUGCAACUGGCUGAAACCGAUCGCCCGCCAUGGCGCCAUGGACAUCGCUUUCCCCUGAAAAGCAACGGCGCAUCAGACCAAAGUUUAGGCAACCUCCCUUUUCGCCGUAUGUACUGUCGUCGAUUCCUCAUGCACCGGGGAGAUGGCAGAAAAGAUUGGGCCAAAGAAGAAUCCAGGCAUGCCGGCACUGCAUUGCAAGGAAGAAACACCUCAAAGCUGCAACAGCGAUGGUAGAUACUGUACCUCGCAGAUGCUGCGGGGAAUCUACGCCUUGGAAGGAGCCCAAGCCGAGGUGUAGCUAGUCUGGAGAAGUCUGUAAAACUGGUGGAUACAAUUACAGUCCAACACAACACCGCGACGGCGACCGCUGAAAGUUACCGCGAAAGCCACCGCAGCUCCGCGAUAACAAUUACGGACAAAAGGCAUGUCGCGGUCAUCAUCGCGAGUAAUCGGAGAUAAAAUGUGUCAAAUUACUAGCGACUGGAGUGCAACAUAUGCCGUUCACACUAGGUCAUCAGGCUGGCAAGGUUCGCUGAACCUGAUCUGCGGAGGUGGAGUGGAGCAGUUCGUGGCUGCGAUCGAGGGCGAAUCAGGCGGAAGACACCUGAAUAUUAUACUGCUCCCGCUAGAUUCGGUAGGAUCAAGCGGGAUAAUUAUAAGGGCGCAGCUGCAGCAGAUUUUAUUCGAUCGUGCAGCGAGAUGGCGGUGGCGGUGUGCUUGUGAGCUUUGUUAAAGUAAUCCGGUGUCACGGUGUAAAGGACAAGCCGGGCGUCAUAUGCGGGAACAGGGUUUCGCCUAGUCGUUCAUCCUGUGCGCGGUGGUCAUGUGAGGCAUAGACCUGG
rnacentral:rRNA from 1 species